rnacentral:lncRNA from 1 species
UGGAAUAGAAUAAUAUAAGCAUACGUGUCUUUCAUAUACAGGGGAAUUGAACGGUUUCAUCCCAUGCUGUCAUGCUCCCGCUGGAAUAGGAGGAUUGCACCAUAGGAGAAGUGGACAAAUUUACCAUUUACCAUUUGGACCAUAUGAAUUGAAACAUAAGCUAAUUCAUCAUUUGCCCCCCAAAUAUAAAUCAAGCUAUGAAACUCAAAUAAGCACAAUUUCAUCACAAUUAAGGAAGAGCAUAAAUUUGACUUCUUUAUCAGCUUUUACGGAUUAAUUCCUACAAUUCCAAACACCCCAUCUCUGAUCUCAUUGUUGUCAAGUGACAUAAGGCCCAACUAGAAAAUUAAACGGGCCCACCUUUCCUGGGCCGCAUCUCACUCGGCCCAUUGCGUUAGACACCCGCUUAGCUCUUCGCGCCCAGCUUCUGGCACAGCUCCCACCCGCACUUCUGCUGCUGCUGCGGCGGCGGCGGUGGCUGCGCACCGCAACGCCGGCGUCUGGUCACGCCAUGCACGUCGCACCCGUCUGCAUUGGCGGAGUCCUCUCCCUUCAGGAGCGGCAACCGGUCGAACGCGGN